UUUGGAACAACCUUCAACAUUUGGCAUCGCAACGUGGACUUUUUAAAGGGUGAGUCGAAAGGCAUGGUAAUGUGACGAGGCUAAUGAACAAUUUAGUUUUGUCGAUGCUUACUGCAAGUUUAAAGUACAGUACUUACAUGUAAUUCUUAUUUUGUAGUUCCUUGGGCAUUAUAGCUAGGUACAAGCCAAUAUAUACAGGGUGUAUAAAAAAAAGGAGACCUUUAGAAAACAAGCAUAUUGUUAAAACUUGAAUGCCUUCUCAAUUGCACAUAUGCUGAACCGUAGUGCGUGAAAUAUUGACGAGUACAUAUAUUAGAAAAAGGAGACCUUUAGAAAUCAACCAUUGUUAUAAUUUGAAUCCUGGAGCACUUUGCUAAGCCCACGAGUGCUUGGCAUGCCAUAUACGUACAGUAUGCAUGGUAGAUUGUUCCAAUGUACAGGGUGUCUCAAAAAAACCCAAAAUCAUUGAAAUAACGUAUUGUUCGAAUUUCAAUGCCGUAACACAAAGGAUUUUGACAGGGUGAUUAAUUUGUUUUAAAAAAUUAAAAUAUCUUUGUAAAGUGAACGUUUGUUUGCUCAUGGGAAUUUAAAAAUGCUUCGUAAAUUGUAAUAUGCGUAAUAUGCAUUCGUGGGUUUAGUACUUUAUGCCUGACAUAACAAGUUUACGCUGAGUAUUACCAUUCAUUAUAGCAGUUAUGUCAAUCUUUUAUGCACUCGUGGGAUUAACUUAGUGCUAGGGCAUUGAAUAUCGAACAAUACGUCAAUUUCAAUGAUUUUGGGUUUUUUUGAGACACCCUGUACAGCAGGAGCAGACAAUCUUUUGUUCAAACGUUAUUUCAAUUUCUAAAGGUCUCCUUUUUCUAAUAUGUGCACUGAUCAAUAUUUCACGCACUACGGUUCAGCAUAUGUGCAAUUGAAAAAGCAUUCAAAUUUUAACAAUAUGCUUGAUUUCUAAAGGCCCUGUUACACGGUGCAAUUUUUCAUGCAACUUGUCUCGCAAUGUUUAUAAAAAGAUUUUGAUAAUGCAUUGCAAGAGGUGUUACACGCUGCAAUGAUUUUCAUGCAACUCGCAACGAUAGGGGACAAAGGCAUGCGAAGAGACUAGGGAGGGGCGCUAUUUGGCGCCAAAUUUUAAUUAAAAUAAAGCGUGUACUGGGGAGAGCCAAUAGGAACUCUCCAAGCUAUAAACAUUGCGAGACAAGUUGCACGAAGCCAUGUUACACGCUGCAACGCUUAAAAUGAUUAGUGCAAUCGUUGCCAAAAGUAGAACCGACUUCUACUCUCUGCAAUGCUUCAUGCAACUUGUCUCGCAACAAUUUUGACCAUUGCAAGGCAUGUUAAACGGUGCAAUGACUCGUGCAACUUGUCUCGCAACGCCAUUGCGAGACAAGUUGCAUGAAAAAUUGCACCGUGUAACAGGGCCUUUAAAGGUCUCCUUUUUUUAUACACCGUGUAUAUCCACUUAUCCAGCUAUCCGUAUACUGGGUGUCCCAAAAAAACCCCACGAAAACCAUUGAAAUCACUUAUUGUUAAAAUUGAAUGCUAUAUCAAAAAGCUGAACGUAAUGAUGCGUAAAAUAUUGACAAGGUGCAUGUAUUAAAAUUUAGUUAAGACAUCUCCUUGUAAAGUUUGCGAUUUUCUGCUCUUGGGAAUUUAAAGCAGCUUCCUAAAUAGUUUCUUUGUGCAUAAAAUUUACUCAUGUAAAUCAUUUAUGCACUCGUGGGAACCAAUAGAGUGCUUAUAGGCAUUCAAAUUCUAACAAUUAAAUUGUUAUUGGUGAUUUCAAUAGUUUUCGUUUUUUUGGGACACCCUGUAUAUCUACAGUAUCUGCAAUUUAUUACGUUUUUUGACCAUCCAUGCUGCAUCAUUGCUGGUUUUUGUAAUAAACAUAACACGAGUUAUAUGUACGUUAGUAUGCAUUAAACGAUUCUGCUUGGGUCUGGCAAGUGCCCAACCAACAAGACAGUUGUUCGGCCAUCAGUAACGAAUAGUUGGUCAAUCUUUACAUUCUAUAGUUUUACGUGCGGAGCCUAAACUAUAGGCUAGGUCUACAGAAGUACCAUUGUCAUUAUAAUUAAAAAAGUGAAACGUUUUUAUUUCGUCGUUUUUACAACUUACAAAACAAUACUGUAUUUACCAAUAAAUAAAUAAUUAAGGUUAUCUCUAAUUUUAGCGAAAAGUACGUGUUUUAUUUAAUAAUAUCUCACAAUAUCAGCGCAAAAUAAAAAUGAUCGGCCAGUCGAUGUUCUUUGUUUGUUUGACGAAUAAAUAGCCAACUGCCGAACAUUAUAGUACACAUUGAUGUACAACAGUACAGCGCGUAUAACAAACGCAAUCAUGCGUUUAGAUUCAAAUUUAACUAGGCGUUUUUUUUGUACACUCUGUAUAUAACAUAUUUUUACCAUUUGACGCAACUAAUACUUGAAUACCAUUUGACGCAACUAAUAAAGUGACUUUUGAGCAUUUCCGAGGAGUAAUUUCAUAACAACUACAAUAAUAUUCACACGGCACUCCGCACUCUUAAAUUUGCCGCGAUAUAUUUAUGUGAUGAAUAUUUUUUUUAUAGCACCCUGAGUGUAUACCUGUAUGGCCUGUGCACAAAUAAAGUGGACAAGUGAUCAUUUGUGAAGAGACAAUCAAACGCAGGAAAUCUGAUGUUAAAACGAAAUUUGAUUGGCUUGUUGUAAGAACGUUAUUAUAUAAACAGAUACAUCUCAAAGUCUAUAAAAUAUUUU